rnacentral:rRNA from 1 species
CUCUAUGGCCAUACCACCCUGAAUGCACCUGUUUGUGUCUGGUCUUGGAAGCUAAGUAGGGUCAGGCCUGGUUAGUUCUUGGAAGGGAGACCGCCUGGGAAUAUUGGGUGCUGUAGGCU